rnacentral:rRNA from 1 species
GUCUAUGGCCAUGCCACCCUGAACGUGCCCGGUCUUGUCUGAUCUCGGAAGCUAAGCAGGGUUGGGCCUGGUUAGUACUUGGAUGAGAGACCACCUAGGAAGACCAGGUGCUGUAGAUG